GACGUAGGGCGCGAGCGUUGUCCGGAUUAUUGGGCGUAAAGAGCUCGUAGGCGGCUUGUCGCGUCGACUGUGAAAUCCCGCGGCUCAACUGCGGGUCUGCAGUCGAUACGGGCAGGCUAGAGUUCGGUAGGGGAGACUGGAAUUCCUGGUGUAGCGGUGAAAUGCGCAGAUAUCAGGAGGAACACCGGUGGCGAAGGCGGGUCUCUGGGCCGAUACUGACGCUGAGGAGCGAAAGCGUGGGGAGCGAACAGG
rnacentral:rRNA from 1 species